UCGCGAUGAUUUUACGCCGCGUAGAUUGUUGUCACACUGUAAUUUUGUACUCCCGGGGCUGCUGUUUCUUCAUGCAAUAUAAUGACAUUUUCUUCAUAAAACGCUCACAAUCUGCAUCUGAAUGCGUGGAAUCAGAUACUCAAAUCAAAUACCGUUAGCCUUAUUCAUGAGAGUUAUCGCAAAAGCUUAUAAAUACUUAUUCAUCGAAGAAUGUUCAGUAAGACUACAAGUAUAACGACGCAGCAUCGGAUAUAUUUAUUUCAUAUUAUUAUUGGAGCUACAUGACAGACCUACCUAACAACCAGGAAUUUAACCGCAUCGCGUUGCAAAGAAUUUGAGUUUCGUACAAGGUUGAUAAAGAAAGAUCAACAACAGAUUAUUUUGAAAUUAUCUCUUAACAUAUCAGUGCUGCUGGAGAGAAGACGUUUGGAGCGGAAAACUCGGCGUGAAAUUUAAUGCGACACGGUACUGAUGCUGCUUCCGAAUGAUGACUUCAAAAUCAAAUCCUACCAGAUGUCAGAUAUGUAGGCUAUGAAAUUAUAAAAUGAGCAUCAAUUUCACUCAUUUUCGAUAGUUAUUCAAAAUGUAAAGAUAUAACUUGUUACAUAUAUCGUACAAGAAAAAAGCUAUAAUUGUUGUCCCAUGAUAAAAUGAUUUAAAAAGGAAUAAUUUAAUUGUGGUUUGAUCAAUACCUACUUUUACUUACUUUACUUUAUUUAAAAAUAAAUAUUUACAGGGCGGAUGUAUACAUUUUUGUAUUUUUUUUUUCAUUUCUAUCUCAUUCCUGACCCUGGACUAUGUUUGGACUGGGUUUGUUUAUAAUAUCAGCUUUAAAUAUUAUUAAAAGUAGUAGUAGUUUAUUUUAACUUGUUGUUCAAAUCUUUUAAAAUUGAAAUAUAGAACGGAUAACAUACGAAAAGCGUGAACAAUAACAUCCCCAUGUCGAAUUAUUAAAUAGAUUUUUGCUUUGAUCUUUUUUCUUUGAAACAUAGUCAACAAGACAAUGCUGUGCUCUAAUAAUCAAUGAUUCUGUAAUUUCUCUCUUGCUUUUGUGAUUUGUCAUAUAUUUGUAUUUAACAAUAUAUAGAUGCUAUAUAUGGAUAUAUGUGCCUGAAAGAGGAGAACGUCUUUUUGAAUACAGUUUGGUAAAUCAAUGUUUUACAUUGCUGUUUAGUGUAUAUAAAAUCGUGAGUUUUUAUUUUGACAACUUGUACAUUAUGUAAGAAUUUCUUUGAAUUUUUUUCUCCCCUUUUUUCUUUUUGAGUUGUAUUUUUUGAUAUAUGUAUCCAUUUUUUUGAUAAUCAAUUCUUUUGUGUAGUACAUAAUUUUAUAAUAGAAUCGCGGUAUAUAUUGUCAUGUGUUCUAAUAUUAGGUAGCAUGUGAACAAAAUAAUCUAAUUAUUUUUAUAGGGAGGAAUACAAAAAAUCCUUCAUUAUGCAAAUCUUGAAAAACAUCCUAUUAAACAACAUUUUGCUAUUCCAGUUACAAACCAAUUUUUUAGUAUAAGUCUUAGUUACCGAAUAAAGUAUAAUUAUGAUACACAAUCAAACUAAUAGUUAUUAUGUUGCAGCCUGUUCUUUUAUAGGCUUCAGCUAAAAAAUACGUUGUGUGAAUGCUUCACCUCCAUCUAUGAUUAAAUUUUAAGAUUUUAUAAUAGCUUCUUUCACAUUACUAGUUUCAAUGUUAUAUUAUUCGGAAUUCUAUUUGUAUCUCCAAGA